UACGUAGGGGGCAAGCGUUGUCCGGAAUUAUUGGGCGUAAAGAGCUUGUAGGCGGUCUGUCGCGUCUGCUGUGAAAAUCCGGGGCUCAACCCCGGACUUGCAGUGGGUACGGGCAGACUAGAGUGUGGUAGGGGAGACUGGAAUUCCUGGUAUAGCGGUGAAAUGCGCAGAUAUCAGGAGGAACACCGAUGGCGAAGGCAGGUCUCUGGGCCACUACUGACGCUGAGAAGCGAAAGCAUGGGGAGCGAACAGG
rnacentral:rRNA from 1 species